AAUGUUUUCAAAAUAUUUUUAAACUCUGAUUUUAAUUCACAAAGUCUUUCAAAACCAUAUUUUUCGGGACCAUACAAUUCACCCCCUCUUGUGUGGGAAGUCACAUGUCCAACAAGUGACACUAGAGCCUAGCUUAUGUUUAAGGACUAAUCAUCUCAUGAGAAAGAUGACUUUCGAUAAGGGAUAUUUUCUAAACACACAACCACUUUUC
rnacentral:lncRNA from 1 species